rnacentral:rRNA from 1 species
UUAGGAAUCUUCCACAAUGGGCGAAAGCCUGAUGGAGCGACGCCGCGUGAGGGAUGAAGGCCUUAGGGUUGUAAACCUCUAAAAGAGGGACGAUAAUGACGGUACCUCUUGAAUAGCACCGGCUAACUCCGUGCCAGCAGCCGCGGUAAUACGGAGGGUGCAAGCGUUAUCCGGAAUCACUGGGCGUAAAGGGCGCGUUGGCGGUCUGUUAAGUCCGAUGUUAAAUCCCAGGGCUCAACCCCGGAUAAGCGUUGGAUACUGGCAGGCUAGACGGUUGGAGAGGCGAGUGGAAUUACCAGUGUAGCGGUGGAAUGCGUAGAUACUGGUAGGAACACCCAUUGCGAAGGCAGCUCGCUGGACAACACGUGACGCUGAGGCGCGAAAGUGUGGGGAGCAAACC